UCCCUGGUGGUCCAGUGGUUACAACCCUGCACUCUCAGUGCAGGGGGCCCAGGUUCAAUUCCUGGUCAGGGAA